UACGGAGGGUGCAAGCGUUGUCCGGAUUUAUUGGGUUUAAAGGGUGCGUAGGCGGCCCCUGUAAGUCAGUGGCGAAAUACGACAGCUCAACUGUCGAACUGCCAUUGAUACUGCAGGGGCUUGAGUACAGACGAGGUAGGCGGAAAUUGAUAGUGUAGCGGUGAAAAUGCAUAGAUACUAUCAAGAACACCGAUUGCGAAGGCAGCUUACUAGGCUGUAACUGACGCUGAGGCACGAAAAGUGUGGGGGAUCAAAACAGG
rnacentral:rRNA from 1 species